rnacentral:rRNA from 1 species
UACAGAGGGCCCAAGCGUUGUUCGGAUUCAUUGGGCGUAAAGGGUGCGUAGGCGGCGCGGGAAGUCGGGGGUGAAAUCUCGGAGCUUAACUCCGAAACUGCAUUCGAUACUGCCGUGCUUGAGGACUGGAGAGGAGACUGGAAUUUACGGUGUAGCGGUGAAAUGCGUAGAUAUCGUAAGGAAGACCAGUGGCGAAGGCGGGUCUCUGGACAGUUCCUGACGCUGAGGCACGAAGGCCAGGGGAGCAAACGGG